rnacentral:rRNA from 1 species
UACGUAGGGGGCUAGCGUUAUCCGGAAUUACUGGGCGUAAAGGGUGCGUAGGUGGUUUUUUAAGUCAGAGGUGAAAGGCUACGACUCAACCGUAGUAAGCCUUUGAAACUGGGAAACUUGAGUGCAGGAGAGGAGAGUGGAAUUCCUAGUGUAGCGGUGAAAUGCGUAGAUAUUAGGAGGAACACCAGUAGCGAAGGCGGCUCUCUGGACUGUAACUGACGCUGAGGCACGAAAGCGUGGGGAGCAAACAGGAUUAGAUACCCGCGUAGUCCCUGAGCGGG